UCAGAGGUGAAUCCCCCGGGCUCAACCUUGGAAUCGCUUUUGAAACUGGUAUCUAGAGUAUGGUAGAGGGAAGUGGAAUUUCAGGUGUAGGGGUGAAAUGCGUAGAUAUCUGAAAGAACACCGAUUGCGAAGGCGACCUACUGGAAUAUAACUGACGCUGAUGUGCGAAAGCGUGGGGAGCAAACAGGAUUAGAUACCCUGGUAGUCCACGCCCUAAACGAUGUCUACUAGUUGUUGGUAUCCUUGAGACAGAAGUAAUGCAACUAAGGCAUUAUGUCCACCUGGUGGGGAGUAUGGCCGCAAGGUUAAAACUCAAAUGAAUUGACGG
rnacentral:rRNA from 1 species